rnacentral:lncRNA from 1 species
UCCUCCAACUUUUCGAAAAAAAAGAAAAAGGACUCUAAAAAGGAUAAUCUCCUAAGAAAGCUAGCAACGCACCCCUCCAUUUUGGACCUCUCAUUCUCUGAUUCAAGAACGACACACCUUCCUCCUUGCGGCUUUGGCUUUUCUUUGAAAUCGAUUUUUUGAAAUGGAUAGGUUUGAAUUCGAGUUGGGACAGACCUGAUGGACAUAAACAGAGGGAUGUAAAUAGUUACGAACCCCACCAGAUUGCGGCCAAAAACUGCUCAGAUUCUGCCGGUCUGGCGAUUUUCCGACGAUUCGAGUUUCGAUUUUCCGUCGAGGCUGCCGCCGGCAAAGGUUUAUGUUCGUGAUCGUUAUCUUGGCUUGAUAUUGAGUAGCAGAAACUCUAAGACUUGGAUUCAAUUAAUACAAGGUCUAGUUUGACUUCUCUGACCAAUUUCUAUAAUGCUACAUACUUGUCUUUGUUUCUUUGUCUAUUAAGCAUGUGAGAAAGAUUUGGACUUAAUUUUCAGAUAUUUCUUUUAUUUGUUAUUUGUUUUUUUUGUGUGUGUCUUCGUGUGUGUCAAACGACGAUCAAUUGAUGGAUUAAAGUUAUAGUCUCUAAAUGAGAGCAAAAUUCGUUGGAUGCUGAGGGAUAAACUAAAGUAAUGGGUCAUAGAAAGUAUGAACGCAUUUGUAAUAUUUCCUGCUUCAAAUCUGCACGUUUAACUCUUAUCAUAUUGUGUUUGCUUGUAGUUAUAUGCUGGUGAAAGAAAGAUAGGUGAAGUUGCGUUGGGUUUAGGUAUUCUUAUCAUGUUUAAAUCCAGAACACUCGAACAGAUCUUCUAUCCUUCUCCCACAUAUCAAUAUUCUUAAUUAUUGGCCUUCACAAUAAUCUCAAAGAUUAGAAAAAUUCAAAUGCGCUAGUUCUUUAGGCGCUCUAUUAAAUAAAUCAUCGUGACUAUGGAUAUGGUUCCCGUGGUAUAGUCACGAUACGUAAUCCCUAAUUCGAGUGUGCAUUUCAGGUGACUCGACCACAACUUCGAACGAUAAUAAAAAUAAACAUGUUGUAAAUCGCGGGUGCAUUUCAUGUAGCGCGAUUUGCAAUGUGUAUCAAAACGGCAAGUGUACGACAAUCGUGACUUGUUCCAAAAAUAAUUCCAUAAAUCCUAAAAAGCGGCUAAAUAAAUAAAAGCGGUUAUAAAGUUAAAAAUGCACAAUUUUAAAACACGUAAUAAAUUAGAUAAUGAGGCCAAUUAUUAAUAGUUGAGCGACCGUGCUAAAACUACGGAGCUCGAGAAUGCCAAACACCUUCUCCCAGGUUAAUAGAAUUUUUUACCCGGUCUUCUGUGUUUGCGGACCAAAAAAUAGAGUCAAUUUUCCUCGAUUUGGGAUUUAAAAUAAGCCGGUGACUUGGGACACCAAUAAUUAUCCCAAGUGGCGACUUUGAUUAAAAUAAAUAAUCCCAUUUCGAAUAAUGUCACUUUAAUUUGAAAAAUAUCCUUAUACCCCCUUUCGGAUAAAAAGAAAGUGUGACAGAUGUGGGCUAUGUAUUGUGGUAAUAUUGGUAUUGUUGAUUUUGACAAUGUUGUGGCAUAUGGAUUCGUGUGGUGAGAGUUGAUUAUUGUGCUGUGAUAUUGAUGCGCAUGCGGCAGUAUAAGGAUAGGUGUUGAUGUGCAUGCAGCGAGAUAAAGUGAAAUUUAUAUGCGUGUUGCUAGUAAGAAAAUUACUUGAAGCCACAUUGUGAGAUAAGGAGACUUAAUCGCAUGUAGCUAUUUCAGGAAAAAUCUUUUAAAAAAUAUAAAUAGUAGGCUCACACAUUGAUAUAAGGAAGAUUGUGAUUGUACAUUGUGAAAAUGUGGAUAAGCGGUGUUAUGCCUCAGUUGUGAUUCUCAUUGUACAUUUUAUGUUGAAAAGGCUUGUUGAUGAAAGGGUUAUUGUUAGUUUCUUUACUUAGUAUUUUGACUGCAUAUGAUUACUUAUUGUUCUUAUCAUAAUCUCAUUCUUAUUAUCCUUUAUUGCCUAAAUAACUGUUGUUAGCCUUACAUCAUUGUACUGUUUUGUUUCUAUUUAUUUCUCUAUCUUCUGUUAUUAGAUUGCAUUAAGGUGUCAUGACCUGACCUCGUCAUCACUCUACCAAGGUAAGGCUUGAUACUUAUUAGGUACUGUUGUGGUGUAUUCAUGUUAUUCUUCUGCACAUUUUUGUGCAGAUCCAAGUAUUUCAGCUCAUGCCGGACACCAGUGAUUUGACCAGAUAUUUUGGAGACUUUAAUUUAUACCUGUUUGGCGCUCGCAUGUCUCGGAGUCAUCUUCUGCCACUGUCUUUUGUACUGUUUACUUCAUAUCAAAACAAUUUUAUAUUAGAGAUCCUUA